rnacentral:rRNA from 1 species
UGCGCAGGUGGGCUUGUAAGUCAGUGGUGAAAUACUGCCGCUUAACGGUAGAACUGCCAUUGAUACUGCAAGUCUUGAAUAUGGUUGAGGUAGGCGGAAUGUGUCGUGUAGCGGUGAAAUGCAUAGAUAUGACACAGAACGCCGAUUGCGAAGGCAGCUUACUAAGCCAUUAUUGACGCUGAGGCACGAAAGCGUGGGGAGCGAACAGGAUUAGAUACCCUGGUAUCC